UGACGAUAACUAAACGCAAGGGCAACUUUAUAAAUAGGCAUACGGCACUCUGAAAAAUGAUCUUCACCCCUGCGCACAAAAGACCACCCUUAUUUUCCUGCAUCUUCCUUUCCUGCAUUUACCGCUUUUCUUAGGAGUAGUUCUCGUAACUUAGCAUCUUGGAGUCUGUCUGCCCCUCGGGUAUCACUCUAUUGUAGACUAAAAACUCUUCUCUCUGUACUCUCUGCUGUUAUAUUCAAUAGAGGGCUAUUAUCGGCUUUUC
rnacentral:lncRNA from 1 species